rnacentral:rRNA from 1 species
GAUGAACGCUAGCUACAGGCUUAACACAUGCAAGUCGAGGGACCGGCGCACGGGUGAGUAACACGUAUCCAACCUGCCCUUUACUCGGGGAUAGCCUUUCGAAAGAAAGAUUACUACCUGAUCUAAAGGAUGGGGAUGCGUUCCAUUAGGUUGUUGGUGAGGUAACGGCGAACCAAGCCUUCGAUGGAUAGGGGUUCUGAGCGGAAGGUCCACCACAUUGGAACAGAGACACGGACCACAAUCGUACGGGAGGCAGGAGUAAGGAAUAUUGGUCAAUGGGCGCUAGCCUGAACCACCCAAGUAGCGUGAAGGAUGAAGGCUUAUGAGUCGUAAACUUUUUUUAUAUAAGAAUAGGUAUUAUAUGAAUAAGGAUCGGCUAACUCCGUGCCAGCAGCCGCGGUAAUUC